UACGUAGGGGGCAAGCGUUGUCCGGAAUCAUUGGGCGUAAAGAGCGCGUAGGCGGCCCGAUAAGUCCGCUGUGAAAGUCAAGGGCUCAACCCUUGAAUGCCGGUGGAUACUGUCGGGCUAGAGUCCGGAAGAGGUGGGUGGAAUUCCUAGUGUAGAGGUGAAAAUUCGGUAGAUAUUAGGAAGAACACCGGUGGCGAAGGCGGCCCACUGGUCCGGUACGUGACGCUGAGGUGCGAAAGCGUGGGGAGCAACAGG
rnacentral:rRNA from 1 species